UACGUAGGGUGCGAGCGUUUAAUCGGAAUUACUGGGCGUAAAGCGUGCGCAGGCGGUUCGUUGUGUCGGCGGUGAAAGCCCCGGGCUUAACCUGGGAAUGGCCGUCGAAACUGGCGAACUGGAGUGUGGCAGAGGGGGGGUGGAAUUCCGCGUGUAGCAGUGAAAUGCGUAGAGAUGCGGAGGAACACCGAUGGCGAAGGCAGCCCCCUGGGCUAACACUGACGCUCAUGCACGAAAGCGUGGGGAGCAAACAGG
rnacentral:rRNA from 1 species